rnacentral:rRNA from 1 species
UCGGCCUCGGGACGCAGCAGUGAGGAAUAUUGGUCAAUGGGCGGAAGCCUGAGCCAGCCAAGUCGCGUGAGGGAAUAAGGCCCUACGGGUCGUAAACCUCUUUUGCCGGGGAGCAAGGGCGGGGACGUGUCCCGGCCCGGAGAGUACCCGGAGAAAAAGCAUCGGCUAACUCCGUGCCAGCAGCCGCGGUGAUACGGAGGAUGCGAGCGUUAUCCGGAUUUAUUGGGUUUAAAGGGUGCGUAGGCGGGCUUUUAAGUCAGCGGUAAAAAUUCGGGGCUCAACCCCGUCCGGCCGUUGAAACUGGG